rnacentral:rRNA from 1 species
AGUGAACGCUGGCGGUAGGCCUAACACAUGCCAGUCGAACGGCAGCACAGUAAGAGCUUGCUCUUACGGGUGGCGAGUGGCGGACGGGUGAGGAAUACAUCGGAAUCUACUUUUUCGUGGGGGAUAACGUAGGGAAACUUACGCUAAUACCGCAUACGACCUACGGGUGAAAGCAGGGGGUCUUCGGACCUUGCGCGAUUGAAUGAGCCGAUGUCGGAUUAGCUAGUUGGCGGGGUAAAGGCCCACCAAGGCGACGAUCCGUAGCUGGUCUGAGAGGAUGAUCAGCCACACUGGAACUGAGACACGGUCCAGACUCCUACGGGAGGCAGCAGUGGGGAAUAUAGGACAAUGGGCGCAAGCCUGAUCCAGCCAUACCGCGUGGGUGAAGAAGGCCUUCGGGUUGUAAAGCCCUUUUGUUGGGAAAGAAAAGCAGCAGGUUAAUACCCCGCUGUUCUGACGGUACCCAAAGAAUAAGCACCGGCUAACUUCGUG